rnacentral:rRNA from 1 species
GGGUCUGUCCAUUGGUCGGGCUUUACGGUCCGGACUGGUGAGCUGGGUUCCUACCUUCUGAAUAACCGGCAUGCCAUUCAGUUUGUGCGCCGGGGAAGCAGAGCUAUUACCUUGAAAAAAUUAGAGUGCUUAAAGCAGGCUAUUGCUUGAAUAGAUUAGCAUGGAAUAAUAAAAUAGGACGGCAUGGUUCUAUUUUGUUGGUUUCUAGGAUCACCGUA